rnacentral:rRNA from 1 species
AGCGAACGCUGGCGGCAGGCUUAACACAUGCAAGUCGAACGAUAAGCUAGACUUCGGUUUAGUGGACAGUGGCAGACGGGUGAGUAACGCGUGGGAAUCUACCUUAGAGUGGGGAAUAACAAUUAGAAAUGAUUGCUAAUACCGCAUAUACCCUUCGGGGGAAAGGCUUCGGCCGCUCUUAGAUGAGCCCGCGUACGAUUAGUUUGUUGGUGAGGUAAAGGCUCACCAAGACUACGAUCGUUAGCUGGUUUGAGAGGAUGAUCAGCCACACUGGGACUGAGACACGGCCCAGACUCCUACGGGAGGCAGCAGUGGGGAAUAUUGGACAAUGGGCGAAAGCCUGAUCCAGCCAUGCCGCGUGAGUGAAGAAGGCCUUAGGGUUGUAAAACUCUUUCGACAGGGAAGAUAAUGACGGUACCUGUAGAAGAAGCUCCGGCUAACUCCGUGCC